rnacentral:tRNA from 1 species
AAAAAGGUAAGCUAAUAAAGCUAUUGGGUUCAUACCCCACUUAUGAAGAUUUCACUUCUUCUCUUUUUA